rnacentral:rRNA from 1 species
GAUGAACGCUGGCGGCGUGCCUAAUACAUGCAAGUAGAACGCUGAAGGAAGGAGCUUGCUCUUUCCGGAUGAGUUGCGAACGGGUGAGUAACGCGUAGGUAACCUGCCUGGUAGCGGGGGAUAACUAUUGGAAACGAUAGCUAAUACCGCAUAACAGUAGAUGUUGCAUGAUAUCUACUUAAAAGGUGCAAUUGCACCACUACCAGAUGGACCUGCGUUGUAUUAGCUAGUUGGUGAGGUAACGGCUCACCAAGGCGACGAUACAUAGCCGACCUGAGAGGGUGAUUGGCCCACACGGGACUGGGAACCGGCCCAGAACCCUACGGGAGGCAGCAGUAGGGAAUCUUCGGCAAAGGACGGAAGUCUGACCGGGCAACGCCGCGUGAGUGAAGAAGGUUUUCGGAUCGUAAAGCUCUGUUGUAAGAGAAGAAAGAGUGUGAGAGUGGAAAGUUCACACUGUGACGGUAUCUUACCAGAAAGAGACGGCUAACUACGUG